rfam:Jannaschia donghaensis strain CECT 7802 genome assembly, contig: 0012
GGGGACCUUCGGGGCCCUAUAUUCCGGGCGGCUCAGGCCGCUCGACAUGCAAAACGGAAGACAGGUA